AAAUGUACAAGCAAGAAAGUGAUGCGUUUUCUGUCAUUGUUUGAAGUGUCUCUCGAUUCUCUAUUGAAAGAGAUAGAAAACUUGGUGGUACUACAAGAAGACGUACUUGCAUUUUGGAUACAACAUUUUGGCUCAGAUAUUUAAAGUUUUCUAUAGUCGUGCCCUUGGUUUCUUUGCUUGCUCUUUCAGAAGAGCUUUGCUGUUUUCUAAAACAUGGGUAACUUCCUCUGCAUGCCUGCCUGCCUGCUUAUGAAGUGUGCUAUAUUCUACCUGUUUCUUGGCCUCUUUUCCUUUGGGUAAACAUUAUUAUUAUUAUUAUUAUGCUUUCCCUUGAACUGCUGUUUAUAUGCCAGGAAUAUUUUAAAUUGAGAACAAUUAUGUUAUUGCCAGGAGUUUGUGCCCGCGUGUUUUGUGUCACUCUCACAUUACAGGAAACAACCUGUCUUGGCAAAGCUAUCUCUCAAUUACAUUUCGAAUUCUUUUCGAACAAGAGAUACUGUUGUGAACUCCUCAGUUAAAGCCUACUGGUCUAAAGUAACAAGUUCCCAUUCCUGAUAGCUCACAAAAUCCUCUUGUUUCUUAAUUUUAACUCUACUAGCUAGAAAGGAAUGGAUAAUGAUUCUUGUUUCGCCAUUUGAUUAUAUAUGCCACCCGUUGAAUAGCAGGUUCAUAAAGACUCCCCGCAAUGUGGAAUUUGGAUGUCAUACUUUUCCAGCGUAAGGGUUGAUUGCUUUCUAGAGGAGCAGUAUGCAGGUAAAACCUCUUGUUUUCAGUGAGCUUUUUUCUAUUUCCUGUGUAGCUAUUGUAUUGCUAAGGCCAAGGGAUGACAUGGGUGUUGAAUUUUUGUGAGCAUUGUUAUUCCAUCGUGCUUGCCUCCUUGCCCAUCAUUUGCCUUGCUUUUCUCAUGUGAGUUUAGUAAUGACAUCCUUGCUAAAAGAUGAAAAGACAAACAUUAUGAUUUGAAAGAUGGCCAAAAGUGUCACCUAUGCUCUAGGCUUAUACGUUUAUACAUGCCAGUUGUAUAAGGACCUAAAUAAUUAAUCUUCUCUCUCUCUCUUCCGCACUACCAUUCAUGGAAAUACAACAAUGAAAGAAACUCGCAUUGAGUGAGAGGAAAGGCAAAGGGUCAGGGAGAAGAAGGAGCCAUGAAUAUCCUUUUUAUUCCAUGUCACUGAGUAACCUAGCGUUUUUAGUUCUGCAAAAUAUGUUUCAUAUUUUAGAGCUGGUUUGGAAUCUAGGAAGCAAACUCCAUUUUUUAAUGUUGUUAUUACACACACACACAAAUAUAUAUAUAUAUAUAUAUAUAUAUAUAUAUAUGUCUGCAUUUGUACCUUGAGUUCAAUCAGACCAAAGACCAAUCUUUAUGGUUUUACCUCCAGAAUAUGGGCGCUUAGACUUCUUUUUUUUUCUUUUCUACCUUCUUUUCCCGUUUCAGAAUUUCCCUCUAGCCCUUUGUUGAAAAGGGAAUUGCAUGUAUGAAUGCUGUCUCGUAAAGCUCCGCCUUUUGGGAAAUUGAAUCUUUUUGACCUUUGCAAACAUAAAGUAAACCACUUUCUCCCAUGCUUUUAUCCGUGAUAUUUUUUGCUUUAAUCUUUGAUUUUGUAGGAGCCGGGGGAGGGGGGUCCUUGGCCAUGUUGAUGAAUUCCUAUGAAGGUUUUAAUUAUGACCACAAUUUUCCAUGGUGUGAUUGGUAUGUCUACAACUUGACCAAAACUCUGUGAAAACUUGGUGCCAUUGGAUGAGAAGUUGAGGACCUUGUAAGUAUAUAGCUCCACAAAAUUUACGUACAAGUGUAACCUAGAGCCCUAGACCUUGAAAAUUACUGAAGGAUCCAAUGAAACUUUGACUUUCGCCCUUUCCCCUCCGCAGUCAUGAGUCAGGACGGAGCAUGUUGUGGAAAUUGGGAAGAUGGUAAAGCUACAACUUUUUUCAGGCACUGUAAUCUUUCCUGUUACAGACAAGAAGUGCAACGACCCCUCCCCUCUCAACCAAGAUUGUCCCAAUGACUUUCUUGUAAUAUCACUGUUGGAUCUUUUGUUUUUUUUAAUGGGCAGCACGCAUCCUUUUAUAGACUCAUUGACAAAAACUAUAUUGAACAUGUUCAACGCAUCCAAAAACUCUUCGGAAGCGUUUAUUAUGAGAACAUCUCAAAUUAAUUAUUCUUCUAAUCUAAGAAUAUUUAAUCUCUAGAACGUUUUUAUUUUUUUUUAUUAUAGAAUAUCAAAUUCUUGAAAAUCUGAUAAGCCUUGUUCUUCUUAUUAAAAGUGGAAAGAUGUUCGCUCAUUAAAAUAAAACACUAAACCCAUUAGUGUAAGGCUGGACUCGUUGCUAUGUCAAUUGCUACAUUGGAAUGAUAUCUGUCUUUCAUGAAGAAAACCAAAUAGUCUAUCUUCGGGGUAAAUUGAUAUUUUCUAGGGAAUUUAUUGUCAUUUAAAAUUCACAGGAUGUUCUAUCAACCUUUUUUGCAGUUAAAUAACAUAAAUGUUCUUUAAAAGUAAAAACAAAGUGAAAGGCUAAGAGCUUUUUUGAGAUUACCUUUUUAAAAUAGUAAAAUUACUUAAUUGCUUUUCAAGUCAAAAAAUUAAAGAAAAUAUCAAGGGAUAUUUUGAUCUUUUCAUUGUUAUUUUGUUUUAAUCUAUUUGAAUUAGAAACAAAUCAAUAUUUUAACAAAUAAAAAUAUUGAUAAAAAAAGAAUUUGGUGGAUGCACUGGUGAGUGCAAGUCGUUCGCGCUCUUUAAACGACAAGUGUGCAACAUCUUAAGGCAGCCACAAAAAGCUAAACUGCCAUGUUGUUCGAAGUGUGUAGUGGCGACGUAGCUAAUAAGACAACACAUGUAGUGAUAUAUAUUCAUGCAUGUUCGGUGAUGAUUGAAUCUUUUUUCUUCCUUCUCUUUUCUCUUCUCACUUUGAAAUCCUUGUUGGUUCAGACACAUUCAUAUCAGUUGUCUUCCCAUUUAUUUUUUUUCUUUCAACUGUGGUCCUCCAUUUGAUUGGUCUUUUUUUGUUUUUGGUUCCUUGUUUUUAUUUUUUUUUAAUUUCAUUAUUUUUUAUUUGGUUUUAUUUUAUUUUUAAAUCAAAUAAUCAUUCUUUUUAUUGUUAUUUUUUUUAUCCUUUUAUUGAUUUUUUUUUCCGAUUUUUUUUCUCAACAUUUUAUUUCAUUCAUUUUUUUUUUCAAUUUUAUUCCUCAUUCUUUUAAUUGCUCUUUUUUAACCAUUUUCUUAUUAUUUUUUUUAAUUUUUCCUCAACAUUUAUUUCAUUUUUUUUAAUUUUAAUCGCUCAUUAUUUUCUUUCAUUAGUUUUUAUACCAGAUUUGAUCAUCAUUGUUUUAAUUGCUAUUUGUUUUUAUUUUUUAUGAUUGAUAAUUUUGUUCGUGACUUUUUGUUUUUUUGCUUCUACUAUAUCAUCCUAAUCUCAUGACUCGGGUCACUAGUUUUGAAGAUUAGCUUUAUUUAACUUCGGCCUUUUCAUAAAAAAAAUUUCAUGUUUAUCUUUUGGCAUUAGGUUAUUAGGCCUUAAGCUUUUUGAUUUUUUGUUUUCUUUCCUUUCUAUGCGGUUAACUCAGGUUGACUUAGAUUUUUUUUUAAAAAGUUUUUUUUCAAUUCCAUCCUUUGAUAUUAGGCUACUAGGUUUUGAGCUUUCUGAUUUUUUUUAUGCUUUUCCUUUCUAUGGGGUAAUUCUUGGUCGUUGGUUAGUCAAAGUAACCCAAGGUGACUUGGGUUUUUUUUCAAUGUUUUUUAUUUAUUUAAAUUAAAUCCUAUUUUUCUAGGUUAUUUUAAAAAAAUAUAUUUCUUGAUGAAUAUUGAUAUUAGGAAGAAAAUAGGGAAUUGUUAAAGAAUUUCAUAGAAAAAAUCAAGCUGAUCUGUUUUGAGGUUAAAGAUGGUAGAAUUAUAGUUUAUUCCCUAGUUUUGGAAAAUUAUGAUUUUGCCUCUAAAAUCAAAAAAAAUUAUAGCUUAGUCCAUGGUUUUAAGUGGCAAUUUUUUGGAUAGGUUUUGAUAAAUAACUGAGGGUUUAUUAUCAAUUUUAUUUCUUUCAUUUUAAUUUUGAAAUUAAUUUUAUUAUAUGUUGAAAUGAGUUUAUAUACUUACGAAGCCUCACAUACUGCUUGUUUGUUAAAGAUUGGUUGAACAUUGCGAUUUACAUACUUGUUGCAUAAUUAUGAGUAAUUAAUAUAAAUAUACCUUAUAAGUAUCAUGAAUUUUUUCCAUGCAUUUAUUUUGAAACUAAUAUAUUAAUUGUGAGUAAUCGUUGUAAAUAUAUUUUAAAGAAUGUUUAUAAAGCAUGUGUGUUUGCAUCCUUAUAUUUAUAUGAAAUAUGAUAUAUAUACUUGGUGUGACAAGUUAUGUGUAUGGUGUGAUUUUGGGUUAUAUACAUGGUGUGAUGGGUUAUGAAAUAGUAUGAAAUUUACUAAUUAAAUCACUAUGUGUCUUUGUGUUUGAUUUUAUUAUGCUUGAAUAUAUUUGUAUUAGUUAAUCACUAAGUUGUGGAAACUCAUCCUUUUCCCACAAUUAAUUUAUGUCAAGCUUAUAGAUUUAAAAGCUGGGGAAUAUAACUUGACGACUAAGAGUUAUAUGUCAGUUUGUUGCUCGUUUGCCUUUUGGUCUUUCUUGAAAACUUCCUAUUGUUUUUUCAUAUUGUGAGUUGUGUAUAUAAAUGAUGUAAGGCUCUAUAAUUACAAUAGAUUUCAGUUGUGAAUUGAGUUCUUGUUCAGAGACAUUAAUAUUUUAUAUAUGUAUAUAUGAUUGAUGCGAUUGAGUGUUUUUAUUUAUUUGAAUUUCUUGUUUGAGAAAUGUUAUAGUUUGAGACUUAGUGUGGUCAAAGUAGUCUUUAUAUAUUUAUACCAUGUGCCGGUCAUGUUCUGAUCAGGUGCGAUAGUAAUACAAUUAUUGUGUUUUAGUUCUUGGCUAGAAUAUCAUACUAUGAUUACCAAAUUGGCAAAAACCAAAUCAUGGUAUAAGAUAGAAGUCUAUCAUUUAACCUUCAAUAAAAUAAUAACUUUUGUGUUGGAUGAUUCUUUGAUAGGUACUGAAAUCUUUUUUUUUUUUUUUGCAUAUGAAUUAAUUUUAGAAAAUAACUAGUGGGUUUGUGCUUAGCAUUAGGGUAUUUGUUAAGAUUUGAAAGUCUAUUUAACUUGUAUAUGCUUAAUGAAUCUCAAUUCCAAAAUUUCCACAUGUAGUACAUAUAUGUAUGAGAGUGCAAGACUCGUUUACAUACUUAUCACAUAUGAUGGUAACUUGAAAUUAAUAUUGAUCCAAUAUUAAUAAUAAUAUACCACAACAUCUUAUCAUAUAAGAAAGUCAAAGUAGAAAUAUUCAUUUAUGAUAAGUUUAUGCUAUUGCCAUUUACAAAAACUAGGGAGUCUAUACGGGGAUUGCCAUAAUCUAUCUCCAUUGAGGAUUAUUAGACUUAAUGAAUUGUUAGAUCCAUUUAAGAAGAAGAUGUAAACCCAUGGUCUAAAAAUCAGUAAACCAAAGUUAUUAGGGUAAUCCUCAAUAGAAAAAUGGUAAAUUAAGAGGAAAAAAUUGUUGUGAUUUAAAAUGAACAUCCUCAAUGAGUUAACUUCAAUUUUAGAUGAAAUAAAGUAAUAAAAUUAAUAAGCAAAAUGUUAACUAGUGAUAAAUCGUGUAAACUUUCCAAUCGGGUGAAAUGACUAUUUAAAGAAAAAUAUUUAUUUUUUUAGAUAAUACUCGAGAUUUUAUUAAAUGUUUUGGCUAAAAAGAGAAUAAGUCUAAUAACAACAAUAAGGAAACAAUAUUAGAGAAGAGAAAAUAAAGAAGUCAUAAAAGCAUUAAAUUUGAAAUAAGAAGAAGAAAACAGGACCAGACAAUGGAUAAAUACUAGAAGUCAACUUUUUUUAUCCUAAAAAAAGAUCCCAUCAGAGCUGAUCACUAAAUCCAAACUGAUGGAAGCAGGAGUUAUGCUAUCAAACUUUAACCAUAAAGAGAACCUGUGAAGGAUCAAGUAAAAACAACCUUGAAGAUCUGGAGUAGUAUCAUUGAAAAUUAUCAUUCCGAUGAAGCAACAGACUCCAUACAAUACAAGAUAAGAGAAGCUGCCAUGAAAGAUUCUGAAAUUUUCCUUGCACCAUUGGUAGCAUAUAUUAUCAACAAAAUUUAGGAAAGUGUCACUAAUACCCCCCCUAUAAAUAUAGGAAUUUCAUCCAUAACUUCUAGGAAAAAACACAUUGAAUGAAGAGAUGGCUUGAAGUUUCAAAACUUCUUUUAUAAAAACACAUAUCUAGCUUGCUAAAGAGAAAGGAAAUCAUGCUAAAACAAGAAUCACGAGUGAAAAAUUUAUCUCAGACAAGCAACCAAAGAAAUAAUUGAACUUUUAGGGGGGCAUAUUUUAACCAUACUUAAGACUUAAAAGAUUGGACACCACCAUAAAGCAAUUGAUCCAAGAGAUGGGAACUCAAUUUUACUGUAUAAAGAACAUUUAUGUUGAGAGUCCAGAUCUUCAUAUCUGACCUAAAUGGUGCAUUAUCUUUGUUUCUAAUAAGGACAACAAGGAAGAUAACUACUCAAGUUCAAAUUGAAACAUAGAGUGGUGUCAUUGUAAAGACCACAUCCAAUUACAUUUAUCCAGUUCCCAUAUCAGCAACCACAUAAAAUUAAGAAGAAAACAAAAUAAAUGACUUGAGGAAGGCUACUUUUAUAGGAAUAUCUCCAAUCUAAUUAUCCUACCAAAACAAUGUUAAUCUGCCAUUACCCACAAUAAACUUAUAAUGUUGUGUGAGAGCCUGAUGUUCACCGAUUUGAAAAGUGAAAAUAAUAUCCCUCCAAAUUCUAGAGAGAUGUUUGUUGAAAGUUGGGAUGUCAUUCUCAAAAGUUGGUUUGUAUAGGUUAAUAAUAAUAGAUUUUCUGUCGCACGUGUACGACACCAUGGCGAUCAUCCAUCCUCAAGGAAAAAAUGGAAUAUUCUAUUUCCUGGCAAAUGUGUAGAGACAAGGAAUUCGUGUCUCUUAUCAGUAAAAUAUAGACCAGGAAUUGCCACCUAGUAUUUUGGUUACCAGGAACCCUAACUGGUCUUAAAGAUCGGGUACGGAGACUGUUUGCGUAAAGGGAAGGUAUUAGCACCCCAACUACGCCCUACUUAAGGUAGGCUGCAUUGUUUUAAUGUUUGAUAAAAUCUAAGGUCUUGUUGUGGUUUCUAAUUGUUGGUCCUAUCUGUUGAAGAUUUAAGAAAAGUCCUACUCUGUAAGGAGGUUCUUAUCUUAAUAAGGUAAAACCUAACUGUUCUAUGUUGUCAAUUAAAAAAAUAUCAUUUUAAUAUCAGGAAUACGUUUUACAUAUAAAUUCAUAAUCCUGAUAUUAAAACAAAACAAAAUAAUUUUUUUUUUGUUUUUGAAAUUUUAGUCAAUGUUCUCUUGACUUUAAUAAACUGGUUAUCAAAGCUAAAAAUACAAGCUAAAACAUUUUUUUUUGUAUGAAAAAUACAAUAUGAUUUUUAGCUUUGAGACACUUGGCCGUAUGCACAAAAAUAUUUUUCUCUUUUUUCAAAUUAUUUUGUAUUUUUGAAAGUUUUGACAAUAACCGGGUAUAUUAAUACCGGAUUUUGUAUUUUUAACGACAUAAAAAUAUAUUCCGAUACUAAUAAAAAGACAUCAAAAUACACGUGGUAAUAGUAAAAAAAAAAAAUCUGGCCCAUGUCUGGCCCACCCCUUCUGGGCUGGAUCCGGCCCAUCUACUAUGGGUUGGCUGAUGUCCCGGCCUAGACCUAGAUGGGUGGUUACUGUGCAUCAGCACAGUAACCAGCCCAUGCUGCAUUUUGCAACAGAAUGUGAAAUCUUCACGUUCUGCAUGCAAAAAUACAGGCGACACCCGACAAGAAAAAAAACUGUGAGGAGUAGGCUUACCUGCGGUAGCUCACGGUGCUUCUGGCAAUUGUGGCGGUGGAAACGGCAGUGCUAGUGGUGGCUGGAGGCACGGUGGCCGGCGGUGAUAGUGGCAGCCUCCCCCUGUUUUCUCUUCUUCUAUGCAGAGGCGAGAGCCUUUUUUUCUUUUCUUUUCGACAAGCUGUUGCUGCUAGUGGCUAUGGAGAAGAGGUGCAACGGUGGCGCUGCUGGGUUGAAGGUGACCGGUGGUGGUUCUUCUCCUUCUCCCUCUAUUUCCUCGUUUUCUCUCAGUUUUUUUUUUGUUUUUUCGGUCUCCAGACAUUCUCUGCUCUCUCCUCUCGAACUUUUGUCCCUCUCUCUUUUGUUCUUUUUUUUUUUUUGGUUCCCCCUCCCCUGUUUUUAUAGGCAAAAACAGGGGAAGGAGACGUGGCUGGGGCGGCCACUGUGCUGCUACACGAAACCACCCAAAGGGUACGUCCCCUCUAUUCUUCCACCACGUGGCAAGCAAGUGGGUUAUCAACAUCUUUUUGAGAGAGAGCUAGUGGUGGAACAGAGAAAAAAAAUCUUGUUCUUCUUCCCAUGCUUCAUGCGUCUAGGGGAAGAAAAAGACAUGGGUGCCAUUCAAAACGACACCGUUUCAAGCUUCUUUUUUUUUGUGAACAAUGCAUGAAACGAUGUCGUUUUUCCCAAAACGCGUCGUUUCAUUUAAAUGGAUUUUGGCGCCAAAACACAUCAGCUUCAUAAUCAAGCCUUCAAUUGGCGCGCGUUUUGUAUUUUAGUUCUUGGUCUCGGAUUUCAUCAAUUAAGUCCCUAAUUGGCCAUAAAACUUCAAUAUUUAUGCAAUUAAGCCUCUGAUUUGAUCAAAAUAACUUCCAAAAGUUAUAAUUUGACCACAUAACUUUAAUUUCUUCCAAUGAAAGCUCAAAUUAACUCCAAAAUCAAUUUUUCUUGCAAUCAAACUCUCCAUAAGUUCAAUUAAAUCUUCAAUAAAAUUUAAUUGAGUCCAUAAACAUCUGAUUUUGGACUUUUCUUCCUCAUAUUAAAUUUUCUUUAUCAACAGGGCUAUCAUUAGUCAAUGAUAUACCGUCAAAUUUUAAUUUUUAUAUUUUUGAACAUCCUCAAUCAAUUUUUGAGCAUUUUUAGGACACUCUGACAUCCUCUUCUCAUUGGUAUAUUUUUGAUAAUUUUUAUUUUAUUAUUUUUUGGGGGGGGACAAAAAAUGGGUUACAAUAAUUUUCAUAGACCAGGGCCCAAAGAAAAAGGUCUUGAUAUCCAUUUAAUAACAUAGCUAUAUUUUUUUACAUAAAGGAGCAUAUACCAAUACCUAGCUCUUUGCUUCUUAUCAUGCAUUACCAAUCUUUAUUAAACCUUACAAAAAGAUAUAUGCUUAAUAGAGCCACACAAUAAGAAACGUCAUUGAAUAAAGGUAAGUAAUCUACAAACUCCCUUCAGCAUCAAGAAGACUGACAUGAAAACAUUGACAGUGAGUUGAGAACACUCUUAAUUAGGCAUAUACUCCCAUCCAUGUUUAAAAGGCUACCCUUCCACUGACUUAGUCUUCGAUGAAAUUUGUCUGUAACUGGCUUUCACGUGGAGAUGCAAUUUGGAUUUGCAGCCAAUGACAUACCAAUAUAAAUGCACGGAAAAGAGUCAGUCAUGCAAAAAAUAGUUGAAGCCAGGCUCAUGCAAAAACGAUCUUCCACAUUGGCUUUGAUAAUAGAGUUAUUAUGGAAGUUAAUGUGAAGACCUGAACUUAAAGCAAACCAUCUCAUAAUUCUUUUGACUUGAAGAAAUUGAUCAAUCUAUGUUGGUGUCAUAUCAUAUAGGUUAUUCUCCAAAUUUAUCUUCUUUUUUUCCUUUCCAAAAUUAAAUUAAAAUAAUAAUAGCAAGAAAACUAACAUUUUGGCAAAAGUAAGCUGGGAGGAUUUCAAAUGUAGAAAAAUCAAGUUGUAAUUUUGGAUGAAAUAGAGAGCGUAAUUGUACUCCAUUAUUCUCAAAACUAGAGACACAAUGUAAAUUCAUGAUCAAAUUAAAUCAUUAUUAGAUGAAUCUAUAUAAAAAUUAACUCUAGGACAUAAUUAAAAUCUAUGCCAUUUUGAUUUAAUAAUAAGUAAAGUUAAAGUUUAAUCAUGUUUAAGAAUUAAUUUGGGUCCGAUUGAAGGAUUUAGUUAGGUGUUAGGGGUUUAAUUAGUGAAAAAAUAAGUUUAGGAGCCCUGCCUUUGUCUUUUAUAUUAUAUUAUUUUCUCUAUUUUCAUUGUCUUCAUCUUUUAUAUUCCAAGACAAUAAUCAAAUACUUCCUUUGAGUUUUAAUAAUUUUAAACUAAAGGCAAUCAUGCUUUUGUUAAGAGAAAUUAAAAUUAUGCUCGCGUGUUUGAUAAGUGUUUAACAACAUGAAUAAAACAGACUCUAUCAUACUCAAGUUAAAUUUUCACUUUAAGAAAAUUACAAGAUGUGGAAAAAACACAAAUGAAGAAAAAAAUUACAAACAACUAAAAUUAACUUUGGCAUGCCCAGUUGAAACUUGAAAUUGAAAUAAAAGGUCACGAAGAGCAAGUUUGGUAAUUGCUUGAUAUUAUUAUGGUAUAUCUUGUUAUACAUUGGAUAAUAUAUUGUAAUAUCUUAUGAUGGGUUGAAAAUAAUAUAAGCAAAAAUAGUAUUUAAUAAUUGGUUAUUUUGAUUUCAAAACUUGUAUUUUCAUUCAAGAAUAUAAUACACCUCACAAUAUUUUGGUUUAAAGUAAGGGUAUCAUGCUUAGAAUUGAAAAAAAAAAAACAUUAUUAUUUUUUUAGUAUCAUGUGCUUUACUUUUAAAACAAACAUGCCUGGACCAAACAUUGAUUUUAAAUCAGCAUUGGUAAAAAGUGAAAAAAAAAAAAAAAACAAAAAAAAAACUAGCAAUUUUUUAAAGAUAAACACUUGACAAUUUAGGGACAGAUUUGAACACCAAUAUCCAUAAGCCAUAACUAUAGUUAUCCAACUUGAUUUAAGAAUUAACUUGGAAAAAAAAAAAACAUGGAUCGAAGUCAUUUCAAUAGUAACAUAUUUCAAUUAUUUUUAGGAAAAUUGCAGUGUUUUUUUUUUCAUGAAUGCUUAUUCGAUAAUUUUGAACCGGGUUUAAAUUAAUGGAAUAAUUCAGAACUUGGUUAGCUGUGGAAAAAUAUCUCGAAUCUGCUCAUAAAUUAUUUCUUUUAUUUCAAUUAGGUCCCUUUCCUUUGUAAUUCAACUCUUUCAAUAUAAUACACUUCUUUCAAUUACAUCCCUUAGUUUCACAAUUAGGAACACAAACUACCCAACUUCUUAUAGUUAAGCCCUUUCAGUUUUGAGUUGGCUACAAUCACUAUCCAAAACUCAAUUACCCCUGAAAUAAUAUCAUCAAAGCUUACAAAACUCGCUACAUGAUUCUCUCACCAGAAAACCUUAAUUCAGGAGCUCCUGUAAGACUGCCAAACAAGCCACAAUGCUGCUACAAAAGGGAUAUUCUAUGUUGCAAACUUUUCAAGGAUGUCUCAACAGGCAACACUAUAAAUUUAUCGUACAAGUCUUUCAUGCCGUAAAAUAAAACUUCUCUUUCUCUAGUUUAUAUAAAUAUUGUUAGGCACAGGGAAAGAAAUUCCAUCUAAUAAGGAAUUCUAGACAAGUAGGAAAAUCUAAAUACUGCUUUAUUGAAAUCUAAAAUGUUACUGUUGCGGUGAAAGUAAGAACACUACUGAUAGUAAAAUAUAGCUGAAGUUCUUAUGCGAAUAAUCAAUUAAAUGUUCAAAACUAAAAAUAGUCAUCUCAUACGUCUAAAAAUAGCUGAAGUCCAGGCUCAAAGUUAGCCUAAAGAGCUAUCAUAAAAGAAAAACAGCAGCGGGCGGUCAAAGGAGUUAGAAGGAUGACCUGGAUUCUCUUAAUACAAGGGAAGAAAUGAAUAGCAACAAGAAACAAACAAACAAAGAGGUCUCCCUGUACUUGUUAUUUUCGCUAAUUACAAUGCUACAGCCUAUUGUUAACAGGUUUUUAGGUGCUAAAAAAAUCCUCUUCAGUACGUGAUCAUACAAUAUUAAUUAAAAUCUUUAGGAAUCAAGAUAUAUAUAUAUAUAUAUAUAUAUAUAUAGGAGAAUGUGUCCAGGAAAACAAAUUCCCAAUGAACAUUUACCCUCGUAAGCUUUUUGUUUGUUUGUCUGUUUGUCACUUUACAGAGAGUAUGACUGUAUCAGUAUCUCCCGCUCUUUCUCGAUCCAGCCACCAAAUUGACUUGAGUAUCAAAAAGCUGCCCUCUAAAGUAUAAUAAAUUUUCAUCAACCCUUUUCUUACCCCCCGCCACUUUCAACCACUCCUCCAAUCGACACACCACGACGACGACCAUGCAUUUUUAAAGAGACAUGGCACGUGAAAAUGCAUUUUCAGCUUGAGAAGUUGGGAGCGGACUCAGAUGGGGUGGAGAGCAAAUUAAGAGUUUAGGAAAUUAAUAUUCUUGGGUUUUAUUGGUAGCUAGUAUUUUGAUUGAUAGAUUAAUAAUUAUUAUAUGAUCGAAAGGGUAGAGUCGACAACCUGGGUUGGAGAUGCAGGAUUUGACAUUUACGUGUUGUUUCUAUCGAGCACACUUCUCUCUCUCUCUCUCUCUAUAUAUAUAUAUAUAUAUAUAUAGAGAGAUAGAGAGAGAGAGAGACACACACACACACACAAUUUUCAAGACUGUGAAAGCGUUGAAAUAUGUAGCCAGUAUCGUCCUCUCCGUUUGUCACUCUGAUGUACAGUAUUUGGAAAGAUAGAGAGGCAUGGACCAGAUGGUGGUGGAGCCUUUGGUUGUGUUAUAGAGGUGAUAGCAUGGCAGCACUUCUUACGGGCACCUUCCGACCCAACCUCACAUGAAAAAAAAAACAAAAAAAUUCCCUGAAUGUGGCUGUACAGGUACCUCUAAUAAUUCCAUAAUCGUUAAGGUUAAUUAAUUGCGAUUAAUAAUGUCUAUAAUCAAAUAGUCACAGACCAUUGUUUCAAAAAACUGAUGAAAACAAGUGCCCGCACCCCGCCUUACCACUACUCAAGGCAGCUGUGAGCCUGUGAGGAGUAAAGCACCAGAAUUUUAAAAAGAAAACAGCUAGCAUUUCGAGAUAUAAUUGUAUUUGAAAAAGAAAGAAUGUGACUCUGAUUCUUCCACGCCAUGGCUUAAUUAUACUAUUUUCAAUGACUUAAUUCUGUAGGUGUCAAAUGUCAAGAAUCCCACUGUUUGAUUUACCGAUUGAAAGUCUUGUCUGAUAGAAUGCUAAUUAAUCUGUUUGUGUUGUGAAACACGCGGAAAAUUUGCAUCCAGUAACCUAAAAAAUCUUCAUUUGACUAUUAACAGUGUUGGAUCCAGUUUUAUUGUCAUUGAAAAAAUUGAUAAGUGACGGACAUUUUAGGUAAGGCAUCUUUCAAUGUUGUCGAUUUAACAUAUACUGGCAAUUUAUUACAGCAACUACGAGCACCAUGCAUAGGACACAUGGUGAUUUAACAUAUACUGGCAAUUUAUUACUGCAACUACGAGCACCAUGCAAUUAAUUAGUACCUCACGAUCCAUUCCACUAAUAAUUUCAAACCAGGCGAGAGGCAUAUCAAAGAGAGAGAGAGGAGAGAAUGGACCCAUGAAUUUUUAAGGCGAUGUGUAUAUGAAGAUGAUGGUUGUGCCAAGUCUCUAUCGGGACACCGAGAAAGUAGAUGACAGUUUUUAAUAAGCCAAAUAAAUCUUUAUCUCAAGGUCACCAAUUGUUUCCUUCCGUCAACAACAAUAAUUUUAAUCGAGUAAUAUUACAUUUCUAUCACUUUGUUUGGUUUUUUCAAGAGUAAGUAGCAAGGUCAACUUGGAUCCAAGAGCAUGAAAAGCUGUUGUGGUAAAUAAAUUAAAUAUUCAAUCAUAAGCUAGGAUGCUGUAUGAUGAAUCCCCCAUGCCAUAUUCUUACAAAACAUAAGAAAAAAACAGAGAGAUUAACGCGAAUCAUGUUAACAAUGUCUUUGAUCCUUAAUUCUAUCGCAUAUCAUAGAAAACAAGUGAGUUUUGAGCGUCAAACAAGCUCACAGUAUGUCACAUCGAAUAAGUGCUCAAAACAGUUUCUCACCGAAUGAAAACGACAGAGUAAUUAAGUUUUACAUGGUUCUCUCUCAUCCGAGUUAGCGAAGCUUACCACUUUGCACAAAACUCAAAACUUCGCAAGUACUUCAUUUUGUCAAAUGUAUUUUGCAUUUUUUUUUCUAUAAUUCAAUGGAAAAUUUAAAAAAAGUCCUCACACAGCUGAAUAUCUUGUUAACAAGGGAGAUAACUUAUAUUUGUGAAGUUGAAAGAGAAAAUUGGAUUUAGUUAUGAAACAACAGAGAAGGAGAGAACAAAACUACAUUCAACAUUAAAGAACACUCCAUGGUUUUAGCUUCAAUGUAAAUCCAAGAAGAAAAAAAAAAGAAAUUGAAGCAACAACAAGGAAGGUAAAAAGGCAAAGUGAAAAGGAAGCGUGGACCCCUGACUCUAUCUGUCGGUCAUCGCCUCGGAUUUCUCGCCUCUGCCUAAAAAGUGACACGGCAGACGAGGGUCCAUUCUUUCAUGCCCAAUAUUUAUUUAUUUUAAUUCUUCUACUUAGGGGUUACUAUACUCGACUGUACCGUUUAAUUUUCUCAUUCCAAUCGCAAUUAAUUGAUUCGAAAAAGUGUAGAUAUAUAUUAAAUGGCCUUUCCAUUAUCGGCAGCUCAAUAACUCAACCACUCCUCUGACCCAAUUCUAUGCCUCCUUUACUUUGAUUCCUACUAUUCUUAUCAAAUAAUCAUACAAUGGGUUUUCUUAGCAUAGUAACACCAUUCUACGGUCCAUAAUGGGUAUUUAAUUUCUAGGUUACAUGGUACAGUAGACAGCACAGUUACAGUCAACAGUGUUCGUGUUUGAUGACACCAUCCAACCAUCAUCUAAUGGUGGGUUUCACUUGGGUACGUACAUGUUCAAUCUCUUACGAGGUGUUACGUUCACAGUCAUCUGGCAAAUCCAACGGUGGAUAAGGGUUUCAAGAACAGAGACAUGUUUCAUGGAGUCCACCCCUCUAUUUUAGUAGUGUUGGUAUGAUAUGUAUGAACAUGAAAGUGAAUGGGUUUUUAUUAUAAUAGUAUUUGAUUUUUUUUAUAGAGAUGAUGAGAGGAGGGAGGGAGAGAGAGAAAGGUGCAUGGGGUCGUGGUCAUUUCUGGAACUGAGAAACCCCAGCUGGUAGGGGCGGGUCUGCACCUAUCUUUUGUCUUUUUUAACGUUGGCUUUCCACUCCUUUUACUCUUCUUAAUAUAGCCCCCAUACCAUAUCAUUCUCUUCAUCAUCACCAAUCUUUCUCUCUCUCACCAACCCCCUUCAAGAUAGGCGAGACUCUUGGGGGAUAAAGAGAAUAGUUUGAGAAUCACCGGCACGCACACACACGAAAUCGAAUUCCAUAUAUCUCCCUCUUUCACUUGGAAGAAUUGAUCAAGAUUUGCUAACAAAGGUAGCUUCUUUUUUGAGGGGAAUGUUGUCUGGCUCGAGGACUUUUUCUUGAUCAAUCUAAUCGAACUUUCUACCUGUAGAUCUAGUAUCUUAUUUAAGAUUGAUCACGUAUUAGGGUUGUCGGACCAGGCUUCAUUCCCCCCAAUCAUUGCUUCCAUCCCAAGGGCUUGAUCAUGGGCUGUUGCGUGUACAGGUUUGAUUCUUAAUCAUCCUUUUUUUUUCUUUAAUUCGUUUUGUAUAUCUUAAUCUUGCUCGGGGUAAAAAACUGGGAGUUUUUUAAUCAUGGGUUUUUUCAUUUUUGUCUUUAGGUUGUUGGUAUAUAUGCAGAUUGGUGUAAUCAUGAUGUGUUUUGACCAUGCUGAGAACUAAGAAGCUUCAUCAUUACUCUUUUUCUGGUUUUCUUUUUCUCUGAUCAUGUGAUGAUGGUGUUUUUUUGUCAGUCUACAACCUUCGAAGGCUCAUCAUUACUAGGCAGAUUUUUCCCAUGAUAGCUUCAUCAUGUAUCUGAUCUGUCUGUUUGUGCUAUAUUCAGAUCUGGCUUUGAACUUUUGGUGGAAAUGAUACUUCUAUUCUUCUCUCUUCUUACUCGUUUUGUUUUAUAGUGUCUCAUGCUGCAGUUGUUUCUGAGGUUUUGCUCUGAUCUCCAAAUCAAUAUUUUACAGAGAAAAGGGCAUGUGCGCUGUGAAGAUGUACAAGCAAGAAAGUGAUGCGCUUUCUGUCAUUGUUUGAAGUGUCUCUCGAUUCUCUAUUGAAAGAGAUAGAAAACUUGGUGGUACUAAAAAUCUAGACGUACUUGCAUACUCGUGAUAUGAAUUUUGGAUACAACAUUUUGGCUCAGAUAUUUAAAGUUUUCUAUAGUCGUGCCCUUGGUUUCUUUGCUUGCUCUUUCAGAAGAGCUUUGCUGUUUUCUAAAACAUGGGUAACUUCCUCUGCAUGCCUGCCUGCCUGCUUAUGAAGUGUGCUAUAUUCUACCUGUUUCUUGGCCUCUUUUCCUUUGGGUUGUGUAGGGGUAAACAUUAUUAUUAUUAUUAUUAUUAUUAUGCUUUCCCUUGAACUGCUGUUUAUAUGCCAGGAAUAUUUUAAAUUGAGAACAAUUAUGUUACUGUAAGGAGUUUGUGCCCGCGUGUUUUGUCUCACUCUCACAUUACAGGAAACAACCUGUCUUGGCAAAGCUAUCUCUCAAUUACAUUUCGAAUUCUUUUCGAACAAGAGAUACUGUUGUGAACUCCUCAGUUAAAGCCUACUGGUCCAAAGUAACAAGUUCCCAUUCCUGAUAGCUAACAAAAUCCUCUAGUUUCUUAAUUUUAACUCUACUAGCUAGAAAGGAAUGGAUAAUGAUUCUUGUUUCGCCAUUUGAUUAUAUAUGCCACCCGUUGAAUAGCAGGUUCAUAAAGACUCCCCGCAAUGUGGAAUUUGGAUGUCAUACUUUUCCAGCGUAAGGCUUGAUUGCUUUCUAGAGGAAGGCUUGAUUGCUUUCUAGAGGAGCAGUAUGCAGGUAAAACCUCUUGUUUUCAGUGAGCUUUUUUCUAUUUCCUGUGUAGCUAUUGUAUUGCUAAGGCCAAGGGAUGACAUGGGUGUUGAAUUUUUGUGAGCAUUGUUAUUCCAUCGUGCUUGCCUCCUUGCCCAUCAUUUGCCUUGCUUUUCUCAUGUGAGUUUAGUAAUGACAUCCUUGCUAAAAGAUGAAAAGACAAACAUUUUUGAUUUGAAAGAUGGCCAAAAGUGUCACCUAUGCUCUAGGCUUAUACGUUUAUACAUGCCAGUUGUAUAAGGGCCUAAAUAAUUAAUCUUCUCUCUCUCUCUUCCGCACUACCAUUCAUGGAAACACAACAAUGAAAGAAACUCGCAUAGAGUGAGAGGAAAGGCAAAAGGUCAGGGAGAAGAAGGAGCCAUGAAUAUCCUUUUUAUUCCAUGUCACUGAGUAACCUAGCGUUUUUAGUUCUGCAAAAUAUGUUUCAUAUUUUAGAGCUGGUUUGGAAUCUAGGAAGC
rnacentral:lncRNA from 1 species